rnacentral:rRNA from 1 species
GCCUUCGGGAACUCUGACACAGGUGCUGCAUGGCUGUCGUCAGCUCGUGUCGUGGAGAUGUUGGGGUUAAGUCCCGUAACGAGCGCAACCCUUGUCCUUAGUUACCAGCACGUUAUGGUGGGCACUCUAAGGAGACUGCCGGUGACAAACCGGAGGAAGGUGGGGAUGACGUCAAGUCAUCAUGGCCCUUACGGCCUGGGCUACACACGUGCUACAAUGGUCGGUACAAAGGGUUGCCAAGCCGCGAGGUGGAGCUAAUCCCAUAAAACCGAUCGUAGUCCGGAUCGCAGUCUGCAACUCGACUGCGUGAAGUCGGAAUCGCUAGUAAUCGUGAAUCAGAAUGUCACGGUGAAUACGUUCCCGGGCCUU